AGCGUAGAAUACUCGAUCGUUGCUGGGCGCCUGAUGUUGAAUGUCGCGUGAUACAUUGGGAAUCAGCUGUAUCUACAU